rnacentral:rRNA from 1 species
GACGAACGCUGGCGGCGUGCUUAACACAUGCAAGUCGAACGGAAAGGCCCUGCUGGUCGGGUACUCGAGUGGCGAACGGGUGAGUAACACGUGGGUGAUCUGCCCUGCACUUCGGGAUAAGCCUGGGAAACUGGGUCUAAUACCGGAUAGGAGCCAUUUUUAGUGUGAUGGUUGGAAAGUUUUUUCGGUGUAGGAUGAGCUCGCGGCCUAUCAGCUUGUUGGUGGGGUAAUGGCCUACCAAGGCGGCGACGGGUAGCCGGCCUGAGAGGGUGGACGGCCACAUUGGGACUGAGAUACGGCCCAGACUCCUACGGGAGGCAGCAGUGGGGAAUAUUGCACAAUGGGCGCAAGCCUGAUGCAGCGACGCCGCGUGGGGGAUGACGGCCUUCGGGUUGUAAACUCCUUUCGCUAGGGACGAAGCUUUUUGUGACGGUACCUAGAUAAGAAGCACCGGCUAACUACGUG